rnacentral:rRNA from 1 species
UACGUAGGGUGCGAGCGUUAAUCGGAAUUACUGGGCGUAAAAGCGUGCGCAGGCGGUUCGCCAAGUCAGGUGUGAAAUCCCCGGGCUUAACCUGGGAAUUGCGCUUGAAACUAGCGGGCUUGAGUGCGGCAGAGGGGGGGUGGGAAUUCCACGUGUAGCAGUGAAAUGCGUAGAGAUGUGGAGGAACACCGAUGGCGAAGGCAGCCCCCCUGGGCUAACACUGACGCUCAUGCACGAAAGCGUGGGGAGCAAACAGG